AUUGAACGCUGGCGGCAUGCCUUACACAUGCAAGUCGAACGGUAACAGGUCUUCGGAUGCUGACGAGUGGCGAACGGGUGAGUAAUACAUCGGAACGUGCCUAGUAGUGGGGGAUAACUACUCGAAAGAGUGGCUAAUACCGCAUGAGAUCUACGGAUGAAAGCAGGGGAUCGCAAGACCUUGUGCUACUAAAGCGGCCGGUGGCAGAUUAGGUAUGUGGUGGGAUAAAAGCUUACCAAGCCGACGAUCUGUAGCUGGUCUGAGAGGACGAUCAGCCACACUGGGACUGAGACACGGCCCAGACUCCUACGGGAGGCAGCAGUGGGGAAUUUUGGACAAUGGGCGCAAGCCUGAUCCAGCAAUGCCGCGUGCAGGAUGAAGGCCUUCGGGUUGUAAACUGCUUUUGUACGGAACGAAAAGCCCUGGGUUAAUACCCUGGGGUCAUGACGGUACCGUAAGAAUAAGCACCGGCUAACUACGUGCCAGCAGCCGCGGUAAAAC
rnacentral:rRNA from 1 species